GAAAUGCGAUAAGUAAUGUGAAUUGCAGAAUUAAGUGAAUCAUCGAAUCUUUGAACGCACCUUGCGCUCCUUGGUAUUCCGAGGAGCAUGCCUGUUUGAGUGUCAUGGAAUUCUCAACUCUAUUUGCUUUUGUGAAUAGAGCUUGGAUUUGGAGGUUUAUUGCUGGUACUUGUGAUCGGCUCCUCUUGAAUGCAUUAGCUCGAACCUUUGCGGAUCAGCUAUCGGUGUGAUAAUUGUCUACGCCGUUGCAGUGAAGCAUAUCAAUGGGCUCGGCUUCCAAUCGUCCUUUACUGGACAAUGACUUUGACCUUUGACCUCAAAUCAGGUAGGAUUACCCGCUGAACUUAGGC
rnacentral:misc_RNA from 1 species